rnacentral:rRNA from 1 species
UACAGAGGUGGCAAGCGUUGUUCGGAAUUACUGGGCGUAAAGGGCGCGUAGGCGGUCUUCUAAGUCUUGUGUGAAAUCCCUCGGCUCAACUGAGGAACUGCACGGGAUACUGGAAGACUUGAGUUCGGGAGAGGGAAGCGGAAUUCCGGGUGUAGCGGUGAAAUGCGUAGAUAUCCGGAGGAACACCGGUGGCGAAGGCGGCUUCCUGGACCGAUCACUGACGCUGAGGCGCGAAAGCCAGGGGAGCAAACGGG